rfam:Ictidomys tridecemlineatus contig035687, whole genome shotgun sequence.
GGGAUUCUAGCUCAGUGGUAGAGUGCUCACCUCACAUGUGAAAGGCACCGGGUUCGAUCCUGAGAACCGCA